rnacentral:rRNA from 1 species
UGCAGUCGAACGGCAGCACGGACUUCGGUCUGGUGGCGAGUGGCGAACGGGUGAGUAACAUAUCGGAACGUAUCCAAUAAUGGGGGAUAACUAAUCGAAAGGUUGGCUAAUACCGCAUACGCCCUACGGGGGAAAGCUAGGGACCUUCGGGCCUGGCGUUAAUGGAGCGGCCGAUAUCUGAUUAGCUAGUUGGUGGGGUAAAGGCCCACCAAGGCGACGAUCAGUAGCUGGUCUGAGAGGACGACCAGCCACACUGGAACUGAGACACGGUCCAGACUCCUACGGGAGGCAGCAGUGGGGAAUUUUGGACAAUGGGCGCAAGCCUGAUCCAGCCAUUCCGCGUGAGUGAAGAAGGCCUUCGGGUUGUAAAGCUCUUUCGCAAGGGAAGAAAACUUAGUCUCUAACAUAGACUGAGGUUGACGGUACCUUGAUAAGAAGCACCGGCUAACUACGUGCCAGCAGCCGCGGUAAUACGUAGGGUGCGAGCGUUAAUCGAAAUUACUGGGCGUAAAGCGUGCGCAGGCGGUUUUGUAAGUCAGAUGUGAAAUCCCCGAGCUCAACUUGGGAACUGCGUUUGAAACUACAAGACUAGAAUAUGUCAGAGGGGGGUAGAAUUCCACGUGUAGCAGUGAAAUGCGUAGAGAUGUGGAGGAAUACCAAUGGCGAAGGCAGCCCCCUGGGAUAAUAUUGACGCUCAUGC